rnacentral:rRNA from 1 species
AUUGAACGCUGGCGGCAGGCUUAACACAUGCAAGUCGAGCGGGGAAAGGUAGCUUGCUACCUGACCUAGCGGCGGACGGGUGAGUAAUGCUUAGGAAUCUGCCUAUUAGUGGGGGACGACAUUCCGAAAGGAAUGCUAAUACCGCAUACGCCCUACGGGGGGGGGAAAAGCAGGGGGAUCUUCGGACCUUGCGCUAAUAGAUGAGCCUAAGUCAGAUUAGCUAGUUGGUGGGGUAAAGGCCUACCAAGGCGACGAUCUGCAGCGGGUCUGAGAGGAUGAUCCGCCACACUGGGACUGAGACACGGCCCAGACUCCUACGGGAGGCAGCAGUGGGGAAUAUUGGACAAUGGGCGAAAGCCUGAUCCAGCCAUGCCGCGUGUGUGAAGAAGGCCUUUUGGUUGUAAAGCACUUUAAGCGAGGAGGAGGCUACUUAGAUUAAUACUCUAGGAUAGUGGACGUUACUCGCAGAAUAAGCACCGGCUAACUCUGUG